CUGGCACUGUGUAUAUGUAGUAUGGCAAGUUGGGGUGAGCCUGGCACUUUGUACAUGUAAUAUGGCAGGUUGUGGUGAGCUUGGAACUGUGUACAUGUUGUUGUUAAGCUAGCUGUAGUUAGCUUGCCACUGUGUACAUGUGGAACGACAGGUUGGAAAAAGCCUGGCACUGUGUACAUAUCUGUGAAGAAAAUAGACUUAGUUCUGUAUUUUCCUCUAUGUUCUGGCUUUUUCUGCAGUAUUUGGUACAUGUUGAAUCUAUUGGUUCGGUAGUUUAAAACUACCAAACACCGACCACCCUCCUGGCUCAUUAACUUCAAAAGAACCAUCUAUUAAGGGCUCUCUGGGUGGCCGCUGUUCGUAUAGCCGAAUGCAACGUGGAACAGAAACCGGC